AGACCGGUUAAUACUCAAUCGGAUGCAAUAUGACUGUCUCUUUGCUGCGUCUUGUGUGAUGUUCGACUUUUUUGCACAUGAAUAUUGUUUGUGUAAUGCAGUCAUAAUAUUUACGCAGGGACGCAGGAGGAGUAGGGUGGAAACUCUGCCGAACUGUGAGCACAGCAAGUCGGACCGGGAUCUAAGAUCGACUCCUGCUCCAGUUUACCAUCCAUGAUCCAAUGAAGCCUGGAGUGGGCAGGCAUGCGGCUUUGGCCACAGGAAGCAGUGAAUUCUUGGGAGAAUGGAAGAUGUGUUAUGGGGAGACAAACUGGCCUCCCCACCCACUCACCAUCCCAAAAUGACACCUGACCCCUUCGUGUGUUUAUAUCAGACCAUGGAAGUGAGAAAUAGUGAUGAGUCACUCUGGCUGUGUGUUUACACUCCGGAGUCACGCAAGGAAGGAAAUCAGCCACGGUCUGCUAAAAGUGGCGAGGUGAGAGAGAAUGGCUGCAGUCCCCCAGCGCUGCAGUGAUUUACCUCUCGGAGCCAAAACUUAUUUCACGUCAUCUCUGCUGCAAAGACUUGUGACCAACAGAAAACAGCAGCAUGAACAGAGAAGUGGAGGGUAGUCUAGGAAAGGUAACUUUGUCUGUUUAAGUAUUCGUUAAGAAUUAUUCUUUAUACAUUUAAUUCUCAUUAGACACGUUGUGUUGAUCACAUCCAGUUCCUUUGUCAUCAAGACAAAAAAAAAAGGUCUGAAUUUGAAUGAAACCUUGUAUUUGAAGACACAAAAAACGGAAUUCAGCUUGAUGACGAUUCAUUUCCAUCUGUAAUGUCUUUUGCCAUUUUCACAGAAACCUUCUCAGCAACAAGGAAAUCUGAGUAAUUGCUCUAUUUAGUUUCAUAUCAGCUGAUUACAUGUAUGUUUCAAACCAACAGCAAUGAUAUGAACUUAUUCAAAUGUUUUUAUUAUUAUUAUUAUUGAUAUGCUAUAUUUAAUAUAUCAUAAUUAAUACAAAUAGUUGUAUUUUAUGAAAUUAUUUUAGUUACUUUGUAUCAUCCAAAUUUCAAAUAACUAGUUAUGGUUUUGUGCUCAAAGAUUUAGGUUCUCUUACUAAUUACUUUCCUAAGAAAUUAUAAUGCAGCACGUUAUCUUUCUUGAUACUCACAGGUUUUAUCCAAGGUUACACCAAAUGUUUUACACUUAUUCUAACUGUGUAUGUUCAAAUGUAAAUGUGAUUACAUGAAAGCGAGCUAGCAAUAGUCACACCUAAUCAUUUCAGGGAAAUAUGUUGCUUAAAUAUUUUAAGAAUAUACCAAAUACAUUACAUUUUUGGGGGAAAUCCUAAAAUCAAAAUAAAUAUUUAAAAGUCUAAAAUAUAAUAAAAAACAUUUCAGAAUAAGAUCACAGAUUUAGCAUCUUUAUUUUGCACAUCAUACAAAAGCCUGAGCAUCAGUUUAUAUUGACAAUAACAAAUCAGCCUUUCCAGUCCACUUUAUGGUCUACAAAAUACAACAUUAUAACGAGAAUGUUCGCAUUUUAUUGUAAAAUAUGUUUAUGAUUUAUGAAUCAGUGAUCCUACAUCGCCGUAUGAACCACACUUACCACGUACUGCUGGGUGCUUUAGAGGACUUUUAUGUUCAAUGAAAUGUAAAGAUUGUUUACUCUGGCUACCAGCAGUGUUUUAUACAUAUUGUCGUUGUUGUCGUUCCGCACUGAGCGACUUUACACCUUAGAUUGCAUAACUGUUGUUUUGAGACAGCUGUAGUUACUGCAGUUGUGCUCUGAAAAGUGGCACUUUAUUUCUUUAUAUCAUCACAUUGGUGCAAGGAACUUCAUUGCAGACUGUAGCGGGUAUCCUGUUACACACCCCCAUACGAACCGCCACAAUGAGAGAGUCAGCAGCUUUUAUUUUGGCUCAUCUCUCCUGAAUUGUAAGUCCUGUCAGAGGCUUUGAUUGAUAGUUGUGUUUAUCACCAUAUUAUUAAGUAAUCAGGCUCCACCACAGCUAGGCCCAGAGCUCCUUAAUUUCAGCUAAAGCACACUGCUUCAUGCUAAUUAAAGGUUUGGCAAAAGUGUUUAUUUUUGUGAAUUAAAAAAAACAUAUAUAUAGUUUUCUGUGUUUUAUGCAAGUGUGCUGAUUGUGGCAUUUGUUUCCUCCCUGGAAAACGUUGUACCAGAUUUCAGUGUUGUUAUCUGUACCAGAAACAUGGUUAUUCAAGGUCAGUGAGGAAAAAACAAUGCUGCAUAUAGACUUCAUGUACUGUAGAGUGUGAGAAUCUUACAUAAUAUACUGCUUUUAUUACUGUCAAACCUGCAAAAUAUGAAAUAAGGUACCUACAUUACAGUACAUCCAUGUAUACCGUAAGGGGGUCAAUCAGUCUGUAUUGUGUAUCAGCAGAGGUUCUUCUCGCUUCGUUAAUAGAGCCUGCAGCAGGCUGCGUUUGUGUAUUCCUGAGGUAAACACAGUCAUGGCAAAGUGGACAUGCUGCUGAGUGUGUCCUGACUGGAGACAGAGAGCACUGUGGCACUGUACUAACUGAGACACUGGCAGCUCUCUAGAGGCAGGGUUAAUGUGAUGAAUGUCCAUUUGGUAAUGGGCCAUGUAUUAGGGUGAAAUUGCUCUUUUAAAAGCCUAAGCUCGAGCCGUUGCUAUGGGCAGUUUGAUUCAGCAAAUCAAUCAGAUGGCAGAUGUUUCAUGUUGGAUCAGUCAGCUCUGUCUCGCUCACUCUUUCACACAAAUUAAGGAGGAAUUGCUUGAAUGACUCCACGUAGCCAAUGAAAGCGUAAAUUCAUCUGGGGAGACAUUUCUGCCAAGUGUACAGAUUUUCACAUCCCAUGCAAAUAUUUCUCUGUUACUAAAGAGGUUAAGAGAGUGUUCAUUUAAAUUGAAUAAUUUAUGAAGAUGUGAUUAUGAAGUUUUUCUGUGCAAUAAGGAAACCCAUAUUGCCCAAUACUGUCCUCCUUGUAACAGGUGAAAUGUGCAAUAAUACCAUCAAAUCUUUUAUCUAUUUAUAAUGUAUUUUACAUUAUGUUUGUGUCUUAGCGCAAUGCUUUAGUCUUUUGCAAAUAAUAUUUAGAAUCUGUAUUUGUUUUACAUUUCAAUCACAGUAAUAAAAAUUCAGGUUGAAAUUGACGGGGUGCCUGUUCAUAUUUUAUCUGGUUUUCAUUUGAGCAGGUUAAACUGUUGUACUGUAUACUUGCUAUGCUUUUCCACACGCACGCUAUGUUACAAAUGACAGGAUACUGUUUUUCAAUUAAAUUCUGUAAACAUAUCUUGCUUUGAAUAAAGUCUGUGCGUUAAAAUGAA